AUGCACAUAGAAAAGAAUGUGUUUGAUAAUUUAAUUGGAACGUUGUUGGAUAUUGAUUCUAAAACAAAGGAUGGCCUUAAUGCACGGCUUGAUUUGGCAGAAAUUGGUGAAAAUGGAAUUCGACAUAAUCUUCAUCCUGCUGUAGAUGAUAAUGGAAAAAUAGUAUUGCCUGAUGCACCAUUUACUAUGUCUAGAAAACAACAAGAAAUACUUUGUUCAGUGAUGCACAAUAUUAGGACCUCCGAUGGAUAUGCAUCAAAUUUUUCUAGGCAUGUCAACAUGAAAGAUUGUACAAUCUCAGGUCUCAAAAGUCAUGAUUGUCAUGUUAUUCUGGAAGAUAUUCUUCCUCUAGCACUUCGAUCCUGUUACCCACACAAAGAGGUCAUGGAAAUAGUUAUCGGGCUGUCUAAUUUCUUCAAGAAACUAUGCUCGAAAGUCUUAGAUGUCUCUGAGCUUGACGAACUUCAAGAGAGUAUUGUGAUGACACUUUGCAAUAUGGAGAGAAUUUUUCUUCCAUCAUUCUUUACUAUCAUGGUGCAUCUAAUGGUGCACUUGGUUGAAGAAGUUAAACUUGGUGGUCCAGUGCACUAUCGGUAG
rnacentral:rRNA from 1 species